AGGUACUUUUAAUUCAAGGGCAAACUACGAAUGCCAGUGUCCAUUACCUUCAACACAAUGACGUGUUUACAAUAGGGCAACGAAAAUUCAAAUGGAAAUACUCGCACAAGAAAAAUACUGAAAAUGUGGAACAUACUGGAGAGGUUAUGCAUGUUUCAGAUGAAAAUGAUAAAGUUGAAAAA
rnacentral:lncRNA from 1 species